AUAUGUUAUUGGUACCCUAAAGGCACCAGGUCCCAUCUGAUCUUGGAAGCUAAGUUUGGCUAGACCUGGUUAGUACUAGGAUGAGAGACAGACAACUGAUACCAGAGUACUAUAGGUUAUACUGUACU
rnacentral:rRNA from 11 species